ACGUGGGUGACCUGCCUUCGAGUGGGGGAUAACGUCCCGAAAGGGACGCUAAUACCGCAUGACAUCCUGCUUUUGGAAAAGCGGAGAUCAAAGCUGGGGAUCGUAAGACCUGGCGCUUGAAGAGGGGCCCGCGCCUGAUUAGCUAGUUGGUGGGGUAACGGCCUACCAAGGCAACGAUCAGUAUCCGGCCUGAGAGGGCGGACGGACACACUGGGACUGAGACACGGCCCAG
rnacentral:rRNA from 1 species